GAAAAAUAACAACCUGGCAACUGGAGCUCUCUUAAGGGUGCCAGGGAAAGCAGCUAGGUGUUUGAAGCUGAGUCUCUUCCCAAGAACUAAAAUCCUUUCACGGAAUGUGCUAGAAGACCAAGAGUCUUCAGGGUUUGGGAAAACACUCCCCAGCUGCUACUGUUUGUUUUGGCCAAGGCCUGUAGGUUUCCUACCUCACGUCAGUGGAUAGAGGCCUUAUGCUCAAGGGCCUCUAAUAUCAGAUUCAGUGCAAGUUCCUCCAGAAACUCAAGGCUAUUUGGAAAAUCAAGCACAA